rnacentral:rRNA from 1 species
CUCGCAGGCGGUUUCUUAAGGUCUGAUGUGAAAGCCCCCGCGCUCAACCGGGGAGGGUCAUUGGAAACUGGGAAACUUGAGUGCUGAAGAGGAGAGUGGAAUUCCACGUGUAGCGGUGAAAUGCGUAGAGAUGUGGAGGAACACCAGUGGCGAAGGCGACUCUCUGGUCUGUAACUGACGCUGAGGAGCGAAAGCGUGGGGAGCGAACAGGAUUAGAUACCCUGGUAGUCCACGCCGUAAACGAUGAGUGCUAAGUGUUAGGGGGUUUCCGCCCCUUACUGCUGCAGCUAACGCAUUAAGCACUCCGCCUGGGGAGUACGGUCGCAAGACUGAAACUCAAAGGAAUUGACGGGGGCCCGCACAAGCGGUGGAGCAUGUGGUUUAAUUCGAAGCAACGCGAAGAACCUUACCAGGUCUUGACAUCCUCUGACAACCCUAGAGAUAGGGCUUUCCCUUCGGGGACAGAGUGACAGGUGGUGCAUGGUUGUCGUCAGCUCGUGUCGUGAGAUGUUGGGUUAAGUCCCGCAACGAGCGCAACCCUUGAUCUUAGUUGCCAGCAUUUAGUUGGGCACUCUAAGGUGACUGCCGGUGACAAACCGGAGGAAGGGGGGGAUGACGUCAAAUCAUCAUGCCCCUUAUGACCUGGGCUACACACGUGCUACAAU